UUUUUUUUUUUUUUUACAAAUAGUACAUAUGCAAAAAGGAAGAAAUUCUGAAGAGAUCCAAAUAAGCCUGCUAUUUUAUUUUGCUUAAUUAUUAAUGAAGAAAUAUGAGCAUUAUCACUUUCUUUUUAAGUUUAAUAACUUAAAAUGUGAAUUCUGAAAAUAUACUAUAAGUUACACUUAGUAGAUUUCAAGACAGUAUCUAGGAGAGGCCUUGUGGUGCUUGGAUUAUACUAAACAAGCUUUGAAAAAAAUAUCAAUCAGGUCUUGUAUGGAUGUAUCAUUUAGUCACAGCUCCUUAUGGACCAUAUGAGGUGUUUGUUAGUGCAUGAAUUUUACAUCUUCCUAAAUUAAAAACUCUAUUUUAUCUUAAAUAUAAAAUAUUUUGUGUUGUUUCUAUUGUAGAAGUUCUACUUCUUUCUUUAUUUUUUAAUCUCUUAUGUGUGUAUUGAUUUAAUCCUAAAUACCAAGUAAUAUUACAUAGUACUGCAGAUCUCUAGGCUUGCAAGUGAUCCCUCUAAUGAUUCAGUUGAAAUGGAGACUGGAAUAAUAAAAAUAGACUUAAAGGCAUUAAGAGAUUGAUAGAAUGAUAAAUUCAUCACCAAUUUAACCAAUUUACUUAGCUAGAGGAUGUCUAGGGAUGGAAAAUGAUAUUUAAAACUGAUUUUACUUUUGAGAGUUUAUGUCAUUUUUCAAUUAGCAAUAAUUGUGCUAUAGACAAAGUUCAUCGGCCACCAUACCGCCACUGCACAAAACUUUGUCAUUUUUAAUGUAGUUUUCUCGAUACAAAUUUUCUUUUAGAACAGCAGUAAGAAAGGAGUGCAUACUAUCCAAGUAAAUGAGUAAGUCCUCGUUAGGCAUUUUUAAAGUAAACUUAAAAUAUAAGUCCUAUUUAAAUUUAAAUUUAAUUUAUUAACUAUUGAGGCACUGUUUGGAGAUAGCAUACUAGGGAUAGAUUGCAGGUGGCUUAUAAAAAAUGAAUUAUAAUAAUCCAUUCUUCUAAAAAAGUAGAAAAUCAUAUACCUUUGUAAUCAUGUUUGAGGAUGUAAAUUUUAGUUGUAAAUUAAUUGAUUCAUUCAAUAUUUCCUGAAUAUCAUCUCUCCUUCAGACACUAUGGCUAGGCCUUGAGUCUGCAGUGGUGAAUCAAACCCAGAAGAGCGCACUGCAAACUUAAGUCGGCAGUCAACAGAAAAAUGCCAGAAGAAACACAGAUGGUGACUACACUUAUCAUGGGGAGCACUGAGUAAUGUAUAAAAUUGUCAAAUUACCAUGUUACACCAGAAACUAAUAUAAUAUUAUAUGUCAACUAUAUUUUAAUAUUUUUUUUAAAAGUAAGUGUAAGAGAGUUGGAGUCAGGAAAGAGGAAAUAUUUAGUUAGGGGCAUCAGCCUUUCCUGGAGGAGGAAGCAUUUAAGUUGAAACUUGAAAGAUAGUUAAAAUUUCAACAGAUAAUUAGAGAGAGGAGGGAUUUCUCUGGGAGUUAUAAUUAACAGUAUGUGGAAAGGCAGGAAGCAAGAAUUCAGGAAAUAUGCAAGAAGUAACCUAGGGAAUUCUCUUGCGGUAUUGUGUAGAGACUCAUACUAUCCUUUCUGCCUCUCAGAUGAGAUUAUGGGUUCAGUGAUUUCUAUGCAGUUAGGAAAUUUCGGAAGGUCUUCCAUUUCUUCUUCUUUAUAAAUUAUUUUCUCAGUUAAUUUUUCUUUCCGUCCUCACAAACCUAUCAUCAAGGACCAAUUCCAUUCUUGCCCUGCUCCAAUCUACUUUCUGCAUAGCAGCAGCCAGAGAAAAUGAUGUCAGAGUCUCUCUUUUCUGUUCCAAACUUAUCAGUGUUUCAGGGUUGCCUGGAUGGCUCUCAGUCAGUUGAAUGUCGGACUCUUGAUUUUUAGCUCAGGUCAUGAUCUCAGGGUUGUGAGAUUGAGCCUGGCAUCUGGCUCUGUACUAGGCAUGGAGCUUACUUCAGAUUCUCUCCUUUCCCCCUCCUUUCCUUCUCUCCCUUCCUCUCUUAAAACAACAAAUCAAUGUUUUCUUUUUUCACAGUUCCUGAAAUAAAUAAGAUCUAACAAAAUUUUAUCUAACAAAAUUUUAUCUGAAAGUUCCUAAAAACUUCUCCUAAAUUUGCCGCACUAGUUAGUAUCAUUCAGGUACCAGCUAAAUGUCAGUUUCUCAAUGAUUUCUUUCCUGACUCACCUAAUCUAAAUAGGCUUUCCUUUUUAUCCUCUCUUGUGUAACUCAAUCCUUUUUCUUCCUUUUGUUGAAAGGACUUGCAUAUUC
rnacentral:lncRNA from 1 species